rnacentral:rRNA from 1 species
UACGAAGGGGGCUAGCGUUGUUCGGAAUUACUGGGCGUAAAGCGCACGUAGGCGGGUUGUUAAGUCAGGGGUGAAAUCCUGGAGCUCAACUCCAGAACUGCCUUUGAUACUGGCAACCUAGAGACUGGAAGAGGUUAGUGGAAUUCCCAGUGUAGAGGUGAAAUUCGUAGAUAUUGGGAAGAACACCGGUGGCGAAGGCGGGUCUCUGGGCAGUAACUGACGCUGAGGAGCGAAAGCGUGGGGAGCGAACAGG